UACGUAGGGGGCAAGCGUUGUCCGGAAUCAUUGGGCGUAAAGAGCGUGUAGGCGGCCCGAUAAGUCCGCUGUGAAAGUCCAGGGCUCAACCCUGGGAUGCCGGUGGAUACUGUCGGGCUCGAGUCCGGAAGAGGAGUGUGGAAUUCCUGGUGUAGCGGUGAAAUGCGCAGAUAUCAGGAGGAACACCAAUGGCGAAGGCGGCGCUCUGGGCCGGUACUGACACUGAGGAGCGAAAGCGUGGGUAGCAAACAGG
rnacentral:rRNA from 1 species